UGUGUGGAGCAGCAUCUUCUGUCCGUAUUCUUUACCUGAUGAUGUUCUCAUUUUCCAGGUCUGGUGCAGAUGUCCGUUGUGAAAGGUCCUCUGAUCCUUCCAGGUCUUGGAGAGGAGACACUGACUGAGGACCACCCCAGUCUCAACCUGUCAUGGAAAUGAUGCUGGAGCUGAGCAAAGCUCAGGGGACAGUGGCGCCGGAUCCUACUCCGACCUGUCCUUCCCCACACCUGCGCUGCCCGACACUGACUUCUGGGGUCUGGAGAAAGGACACCGUCACCAGUGUGAAGUCUGGGCCUGGUUUCCUGGGGAGAAUGGAAUCAGCCUGACCUGCUUGCCCAACCUCACCACCCAAGGACCUGUCCAAGGCCCUGGUCUCUGUCUCACACCCCUAGCCCUUGGCUGACUCGGCCUGGCAGUGACCACGGCCCCGGGCUCUCUUCUCUCCACCUUCCCAGGGCCUGGAUGGCCUCUGAGUAAACAGAUAGCCCGGCGAGGUAUGUGAUCAAUUAGCUUUGCUGAAAAUACAAUCAUUUUGUUAUUCCAAGCUGAUGAGAAGGCCUGCUCUCCCAGCCUCCACAUGCCAAUCAGCCCGUGUCACCGAUAUAAUUUUCCACAUAAACACAACCUUUGUGCAACAUCUACUCUUGUAAAUAGAUGUAAUUCCCAAACCAAAUAACGUGCUUGGAGGGGAAAUGGAUAUUAUGCAUGCAAAAAGAAAAGCCGGCAAUUUUUACACUUUCCAGGCAACAAAAGAUUACCC
ensembl:lincRNA